rnacentral:lncRNA from 1 species
UUGUACCUGUAUGGCAAAUUUAAUCUCUAACACCAUGUUUCCCGAAAACUUCCCAUUGAAAACAGUUUCCUUCCCUUGGGAUGAGUCUGUUAUACAAAUUAUCUCAAGUGCAUUGAUACUUCAAAAUAAUUUACACAAUUUUUUAAAAGAUUUUUUAAAUAAUUCUAUAAGACAUUGGCCCUGCAUGUCAGUACACAUACAUAUAGUUUUUAGAUCGGUAAUGAAUGCUUAUAUAAACAUCUAGUAUAUAAUUAAUCCAUAUUUAUACUGUGGCACUGAACUAUUUACAUGUGCAAAUUAGUUUACUCAAUUACUAGUUAUAAAAUAUAUGUAGAAGGGAUUUUAUAGUGUUAAGAACAUAUAAUAAAGGCUCAGCUGUAUCUGUCCUAAAAAAUAAUUCUUUGAAUCUUAAUUAAAUUAUUGGAUGUUAUUUGAGAUUUACAGUUAUAAUUUUCAAUGCCUAUGUGUAUAUAUUCAUAUAUAUCAGUAUAAUUUCAUGAAUCUGUUUGAAGACACUUAUGUUAAUUGGUUGGUCUAAGAGUUACAAUAUUAUGAGUGGCAGCAGACUCUUUUUCAAAGGAAAAUUAUAACUAAUAAUUUUAAGAUGAUGAGCUAAAGCUAUUAGAAGUCACUGUUAUUUGUAACUUGCAUGGUCUUUCCCUCACUUGCAUGGGACCAGCGAUAAUCACCAAGUCAGGUGUUGUAGUAGGAGGAUGCAUUUUUUAUAUGCUCUCUUUUGUUUUUGCUUAAAUUUGUGUCAUUUUUUUAAUCUGUGCAGUAUUGUAUUCUGUCUCCUGCUAAUAUUUCAUAGUUAAACUAACAUUACAACAUGGUCAGUCAUGCUUGCCAAACUAACUAGUACUUGUUGUCAAAGAUAAGAAGUAUUGCCUCUCUACCUAUAUUUCAACCAUUUGUUAUCAAUGAAAUCUGAAAUCAGCUUCUUCAAUGUUUGUGAUUCUCAAAAUUUUCAUAGUCCUGCAUGUUGGCAAAAUAAUGUACAUGUAAAAUACUUUUUUUCCAUAAAAUUGUUUGCUGUAAGUACACAAAAAACAAACACAUGCAUCUAAAAAACUAAAACCAGAGGCUCAGGGUGUUUAUGCCCAGGUCACUGGACAUAAACUGAAUAUGGUGCCACAUAUCACUGGGAAGGGGAAAGAGGUAGAUUAGGAAUCCAAAAUCAUUCCCAGUAAUGAAUACAGAAUUUGAGGCUAGCCUGGGUUAAAUGAGUGAAACUCUGCCUCAAAAUGUGGGAAAAUGUAAUAGUUAUUUGUUCAAUUUACUGAACAUUCUUGUUUGUGCUAAUGCUUCAUAUGAGUAAUAGAAUUUAUUCUUAUGCCUAUACACUAGGAUUGCAUUUUAAUUGCUUUAUAACUUGAAUAGUCUAAAUUGAAAUUUUAUUCUCCUUCAUUUAAAUUCAUCAAUAUAUAUUUUAGGCUCACCAAAUGUGUUAUAAAUUUUUGCUGCUUUUUCUUGUGUUUUUUUAAGUCCAAUUUUCAAUGAAUAAAUAAAAAACAUUAUAUUUGAAAAUGCAGCUGUGAUCUAUUGCUCCAAUAAACCAAAGAAUUAUAUCAUACAUGGUUUAAAAUAAAGACAACUACCUACAUAAGUAGAAUAAUGUUUGGAGAGAAUUGACCAGAUAAGAAAACACAACAACUGAAUUUUUAAAAAAUUCAAAGAGAGACUUAGGCAUCUUAGAGAUUAUCAUUUCCAUGUAGUAUAUAUAAAAUUGGAGCAUGCACGAGGGCAGAACUGGAAUUGAAUGAGCCAGGUCCAAUCCCAGAUGGCAAGGAACGCUUUCAUGCUGUUCCAUGUGGAAACUGAUUUUUAGAUUUCCACGUGGUACAUUACAAGUUCAAAUUAAUUUUAAACUUUUAUUUUUUUCAUAUGUAUCUCUAUGACUCCUAGUAAACGCUUCCUUGUCUGUCCUGUUGCCAAUGAUUCUAAAAUAGGCACCAAACAGCUUCUUUUUUUUUUCCCCCUCUGAGUUAAAUACACAGAGAACAGCACUCAACUGUGCAUUUUGAAUCCUGUUCAAUAAAAGUUUUAAGAGAUAAGAAGCUUUUUUUUUUCUAUUUCUGGGUCACUAUCUGUCUGAAUAAUACAUAAACAUGGAGAAAUAGUGGAAAUUUUGUAUCUGUCCGAAUAAUACAUAAACAUGGAGAAAUAGUGGAAAUUUUGUGGAAGAUCACCUCAUAGCUUCAACAUUCAGCUAUUAUCACUGUGUGUGUGUGUAUGUGUUCACUUCUCUAGCUUCAAAAAUGAAACGGAUGUAUCAAUAAUGCCUCGUCUUUAAUAGAUGUGACUUUUUCAGUCAAUGUCAGCUAAUGAUGUUAGUUAAAUGAACAACAGAACUCACCAUGUCUAUCUUCUCACAGCAGCAGACUUUAUUGAAUAACAGAAAAUUCACAAUAUUUAGCAAUUCAAAUGACAGCAAUUUGUCAUAUGAACACACUUACAUGGCUAAAGUAAAUGCGCAUUCUUCUAUUCUUUCUUGAUUAUUGAAAUUAAUACUCAUAACACAAUUCAGUAAGUACAUCUGUGUAUCUUGGCACAUAAUGUGGUUUACAGAAUUGUACAGGUGAAAGAGACUAUAGCAAAUUUCAGACGCAGGAUGAGAGAUAGUUUAUAUUAAUGAGAUAAGAAACAAGGCCAGAAGUCUGAGAGCUGAGAGUGAGGCCAUUCCAUCUGUGAGCUGAAAGGUUGUUGAAGAAGUGGCCAAGGCCUAAAAGUGGCGGGUCCAAGUCCAUGUUCAGAUGGGUGACCACAGAGAUGUAAAUAAGCCUUGUCAGUAAUUGGAUAAAAUUCCAGGGGCCCUCAUGCAGUUCUCUGUUUAUUGAUGCUGACACCCACUAGGUAUCAUCUGAUAGGUUACUAUGAGACCAAACUAUUGCAAUGUUAGGUGACUAUUGCUUUAUGGGGUCCAAGGAUAUCUUUUCCUUGGGAUAGUGUGUCUAAUAGUUCAUGGGCCUUGUUUCCCUGAGAUAAAUAGAAUAUACUAAUGUGAUCCUAUAAUCUCAAGUCACCUUGAUAAAAUUUGUAGAGUACCUUAUUAAUAGAAAAUUUUACUUUAAAAUGCAUUGACACACAUAGUAAAUUAGGUUGACUUUCAAAUGUCAUGGUUACUGGGUCUGUGUGCAGUAUUUACAAGCAGGAAAUUACACAGGGAUUUUUUUUGACCCCUCUAGCUAAAUUGCAAGUGUUUUCAUCUUCUAACAUAUCUGAUAGUGUUUGUUAUGAGUUAAUAGUUCAAGAUUGAAGCUUUAUGUAAUCUACAUGCUAUAUAUUCAAAAUAUCCCCAAAGAUCCAAUGUCUAUAGGCAUUUUCAUGAUUUUUUACAAAACCAGUAUUCUUUGAAUGGAUAAAACAAAAUUUGUUUAACAUUCUCAAUUAAGAUCCAUCUACCAUUGAUGGUGAUUGUGGGACACAUCUUUCAUCCCAGCACUCUGUGGGUAUAAGCAUGGAGCUCUCUGAGUUUUAGUUUUGCCUGGUCUACAAUUGCAAAUUCCAGGACAGCACGGCUACAUGGAGAAACCCUGUUUCAAACAACAACAACAAC